GGAGAAUUCUGGGAAGUGGAAGGCUGAGGGAGGAGAUGCUGCCAGCUGCCGCCUUGAGGAGCGGGAUGUAAAGUACUGAGGACCUGUGUUUGGUUUCCAGAACCCACAUGAUAGUUCGCAUCUGCCUCCUGUCCCUCCAACUCCAGGGAAUGUGACACCCUCUUCUGACUCUAUGGACACCAGGCACCCAUGUGUGGUGUACACAUGUACAUGCUAGCAUUCACAUAUACAUAAAAUAAAUGUUUUUUAAAGGCUA